AAAGUACUCCCUCCGUUCGGAAUUACUUGUCGUAGAAAUGGAUGUAUCUAGAUGUAUUUUAGUUCUAGAUACAUCCAUUUCCGAGACAAGUAAUUCCGAACGGAGGGAGUAAUUA
rnacentral:pre_miRNA from 1 species